rnacentral:rRNA from 1 species
UGGGGAAUAUUGGACAAUGGGCGAAAGCCUGAUCCAGCCAUGCCGCGUGUGUGAAGAAGGUCUUCGGAUUGUAAAGCACUUUAAGUUGGGAGGAAGGGCAGUAAGCGAAUACCUUGCUGUUUUGACGUUACCGACAGAAUAAGCACCGGCUAACUCUGUGCCAGCAGCCGCGGUAAUACAGAGGGUGCAAGCGUUAAUCGGAAUUACUUGGCGUAAAGCGCGCGUAGGUGGUUCGUUAAGUUGAAUGUGAAAGCCCCGGGCUCAACCUGGGAACUGCAUCCAAAACUGGCGAGCUAGAGUAGGGCAGAGGGUGGUGGAAUUUCCUGUGUAGCGGUGAAAUGCGUAGAUAUAGGAAGGAACACCAGUGGCGAAGGCGACCACCUGGGAUCAUACUGACACUGAGGUGCGAAAGCGUGGGGAGCAAACAGG